rnacentral:rRNA from 1 species
UACGGAGGGUGCAAGCGUUAUCCGGAUUCACUGGGUUUAAAGGGUGCGUAGGUGGCUUUUAAGUCAGUGGUGAAAUACAGCCGCUCAACGGUUGAGGUGCCAUUGAUACUGAAGAGCUUGAAACAAGUGGAGGCUGCCGGAAUGGAUGGUGUAGCGGUGAAAUGCAUAGAUAUCAUCCAGAACACCGAUUGCGAAGGCAGGUGGCUACGUUUGAUUUGACACUGAGGCACGAAAGCAUGGGGAGCAAACAGG